UUGAUAGUAAAAGCAUUUUUUUAUAGCAUAUGCAAUAGACCUACUCUUCGAUUUAUCUAUAUUUACUGACUGUUCCACAGUUAUACCAAGAAAUGUUUACACAGAUGAUGAUAAGCAUAUGUAGAAAUGCAACGUUUUCACUGACCGGAAUAACCAGCUCCAGGCUGCAGUUCUCUGCACGAAGAUAAAGUUUGAUAGGCAAACUUGGCAGCUCCUGACCGCGGCGACCUGAGCCCAGAGGAGCAGCCGGGGGCGGUGGGCAGAGCCAGGAUGUCUGAGUGGCUGUGUUGGGAAGAUAGCUACGUACAAAAGACUGAUGUCCGGAGAGGAGAGCCGUGCUGGAGACGGACACUUGAAACCCUUGAAAAUGGAAGACGUCACCGAUCCCCUAAAGAGAGAAUGGAGAAAGGAAAGAAGGGAACCUGGCUCCAGACCCGAAGAGCCUCAGCCUAGCAUUAGAGUCUGUCUCUGUUUGUGCUCCUCCCUCCAUCGCCCUCCCCUGCCCUCUCAAUCUGUCACAGUGAUUUUUACGUGCCAUUUACUGCCGUGCUCCCUUGAGCAUGGGAAUACCUGCAAGACAAGGAGGGGCCUUCACAGGCAGAGGCGUCAGGGUCAGAACCGUGGAGUGGCCUCGGUGCUGCAGAGGAAGGAUGUCAACCACGGGCGUCUUCGUUUUGGAAAUUGGAGACAUCUUCCCAGGGUCAAAGGAGCCCAGAGAUGGAAGCCAGAUGACUCAACUCCGGAUUGGGGAGGGAUUUCCUUAAAAGACCUCUCAGUUUGUGGGAGCACAGACCAACAUGACCGUGUACCAUACAUGCUCAUCACGCCUGGCUACCCUGAUGUUCUCAGACUCCCAGCCGCUCUGCAGAAAGUGGAGGCUAAACAAAAUCAUCUUCCCUCCCACCGUGGCUCUUGUUCAAUAAAACCAACAGAAGCCACAGGCUGACAGCAUCUGGUUAAGGGAGGGAGGGACCUGAACGGCUGCGGCGUGGUGACCGCUGCACCCGUAACACGGGUUGCUGGCUGCGCCUGCGGAGCGUGGCAGUGUCUGGCCCCGUCCUUGCGCUUGUAACCUGAAGUCAGGCCUCUAUGCUCUGGGACUCUUCUUUUUUUUUUUUUUUUAUCAUUAUACUUUAAGUUCUAGGGUACAUGUGCACAACGUGCAGGUUAGUUACAUAUGUAUACAUGUGCCAUGCUGGUGCGCUGCACCCAUUAACUCGUCAUUUAGCACUAGGUAUAUCUCCUAAUGCUAUCCCUCCUCCCUCCCCCCACCCCACAACAGUCCCCGGUGUGUGAUGUUCCCCUUCCUGUGUCCAUGUGUUCUCAUUGUUCAAUUCCCACCUAUGAGUGAGAACAUGCGGUGCUCUGGGACUCUUCUUAAGAUGAGCUCUUCAACUCUGCGGCAGCUGCCUUUUCUGGCGCUGCGGGCCCCGCCACACUGGCCGGUCCCUCCACAUCACGCCUCCUCCUGGAUCUUUGAGAGGCUCCGGACGCCCAUGACAGUCACCUGCUGUGGUUGGGAGGGGCAUUCUCAGGAGCAGUCCUGAGAGUUCCUGAGAGUUCCGGGUGGGCCUGAAGGCGCGGGGGCUCAGAGCUGCGCUUUCCUUGCCGGCGUGGUCCUUCCGUGCACUCCCCGGCGCCAGCUGACUGCGUGGGUGUGGAAGGGAGGCCUGUGGUGGCCUUUGGAGGCUGGUGCUUCCCUGCCGGACUACCUAGCAAGUCUGUUCUUGGAAUUGUCCAUCCCGAAGCCUCCUGCGUGGACUGCACCCUCAGCAGAACCCGCAGGCUGCGGCGUGGCGCCCGGGCUCACAGUGCCCCGCUGUGUGCUCCAGCUCUCCCCUGGCCACAUUACAUGAAGUGGGAAGGUGGGCUCCAGUUCUCCCCUGGCCACAUUACAUGAAGUCUCAGACCCUCCCGCAGGGCCACCCUGAGCUCCGACACGCCAGGGCCGAGUUCCACGCUGCUGCCAAGCACUCAGCCUGCGGGCGCUGUGUCAGCCGGUGUGUCGAGGAGGCUCACACGGCUUCAUUUCUGAGAGUGUGUUAUGUUCUACUCAUAAAAGGCAACGCAGUGGGGGCAAAAUCCUGGGGCCAUGGCUGUUUCCCUCCCAGCGGGAGUGGGGCCCUGUGUUCCAGAAGGUCGUUUUCUUAGGAGCUCAAGGUCGGCCUAUGAAUGGACUUCCUAGGCUUCCCCUCCCUGCUCCGCCGCCUUUGACACUCCAGAUGGUCGGCUGGGGCAGCUCAGGGCGCCCCGUCCGUCUCCUGUGGCUCGGGCAGAGCUGUCCCUCGUUGUCUGAUGCUGGUAUCUUGACACCUCUUGUUUCAUGUGGUUUUUCUCUUUUGAUUUGUUUGGUUUUUCAAGCAGAAGGUAAACAUGGUUCCUGUUACUCCACCUUGGCUGGAAGCAAGUCUCCUGUUCAGAUUGUCUUAGUUCCUUAUUCUCUACUGUGAACAAUCUCCUCAGACCCAGAGAGUUCCAAAAACCGAGGAUACAGGCUCUCCUUGGCCUCCCCAUGUCCCCAUGGAUACUAGGGUAAUGUCCUUCUCUGCCUUAGAGCAGAGCAUGGCCUGACGGGCUCAGUAUAGGACCUGACAUCUCCUGGACUGAGGCUGGCUUCCAGCUUAGAUGACCGCCCACUAAAUGGCCCCUGGGGCAGCCCGUCGCAAAUUCUCAUCCAAAUAGCUCUGAAGACAGAGGGAAAAAAGGUGAAAAUUCAUUCCAACAGGAGGAGAUCUGGCUGGCAACGUCUGGGGGCAAGUGUAGCACAAAGGAGUGCUAGUUGACUAAGUGGGUGAAUGUGCUGAGUCCGAAGGGUGAGCUCUCUCCAGCAUGAUUUCCACCUCCUAGGUGUGGCAUUCAGUACUGUUUACAAGCUGGGCAGAAACAAGCCCUGCAAGGCCCUGCCCCAACCCCUGCUCCCACCCAGCUCCCUGACCCCUGUUCCCACCCAGCUCUCUAGUGGCUGCUGCUCUCCGCGCUCCCAUGCACUGCCCAGUGUACCUGCCCAGCCCAUCACCCUCUCCUCCCUGUACCCAGCCCAGGCCACCUUAUUUUCUUGGGGCCGUCUGCCUCUCUGACUUGAGCCACAGAGCUGCCAUCCUAGGAGUCUGUGGUAAGGAGACCAGGCAUGUGCCACCAGGUGGAAAUGUCACAGCCUGACCCAGAGGCUGGCCCCAGAGUUUCACUUGGUGUCCGUCAGCUGCAGGCUGAUCCCCUGGAGCCUCUUUCACUGACCACAUGGCUCCGACCUGGCCAGGGCAGACUGUGGAAGGGAGGCCAGAGCGCUAAGCAUCUGAAAAUUCAGCCUGGGGAGGACCCUGUCUGUGUGGUCACCAGCCCAACCUCAUGCCCCUUCUCAGCACCUCCCUCAGGCCCCAGGGUGCCCGCUGGCCAGUUUUCAGUGCAGAAACUCCUUAGAGAGUGGGGGGCAUUUCUUAGGAAAUGCCUACUCCAAACAUUUGGAUUGUGGGCUUAUCUGUUUAGAAAUUCUGAAUAGGUUAUAGUUGGCUCAAACAUCAAAAAGUAUAAAGAAACAUACAGUGUCCAGUGUCCCUCCCCCAAGCUCCUCCUGCCUGGUUACUUUCUCAUGUAAACCUAUGUGCAAAACUGCAGCUGUGAGCAAUCUUCUGUUUUUGGAAAGUGGUAGCAAGUUGAUACCCACUGAUCCUCACCUUGAAUUUUUCAGCGCACAGCGUGUUCACGCAGAUAGAACCAGCAAAACGUGAUGCUAGACUGGCGUGGGGGCAUGGGAGAAAGGCCCAGAGAUGGUCCAAGGACCCGCCUGUGUGAUGGCCAGCAGGUCUGUCCUGUCCUCUGAUGAGCUUGGGAGGGAGAGCGGAUGUCUGUUUCUGACUACGUUGGGGGUGCCUGUUAGCCAGCGAGGUGGAGGAGUCCUGUAGGUGGCUCGGUGUUGUGAUGGUUACUUUCAUGUAUCACCUGGACAGGGCCAGAGGGUGCCUAGAUAUUUGGUCAAACAUCACUUUGGGUAUUUCCGUGAGGGUGUUUUUGGAAGAGAUUAGCAUUCAAAUUGGCAGACUGAGGAAAGCAAGAUGACCCUCCCCGUUGUGGUGGGCCACAUCCAGUUGAGGACCUGAAUUCAAUUGAGGGUCCCCUGAGGACCCUGAUGAAAGCAGAACUCAUUCCUGCCAGCUCUGUGUGAGUGGAGCUCAUGUUUAUUUUUAAGAGACAGGGUCUCGCUCUGUCACCGAGGCUGGAGUGCAAUGGUGCCAUCAUGGUUCACUGCAGCCUCCAACUUCUGGGCUCAAGCGAUCCUCCCACCUCAGCCUCCUGACCAGCUAGGACUACAGACAUAUGCUACCACGCCCAGCUAUUUUUUUUUUUUUAGAGAUGGGAUCUCACUAUGUUGCCCAGGCUGGUCUCAAACUCCCAGGCUCAAGUGAUCCUCCCGCCUCAGCCUCCCAAAGUGCUGGGAUUACAGACGUGAGCCACUGUGCCCGGUGCAACCUAAUGGCUUUUAAAGAUGCCUGUGCUUACCUCAGCCAAGGGCCACGGUUGCACUGGAGUUCCUGGACACAGCCCUAUCUGGUUACAUGGCGGCUGCUUCAGGCUCCGGUCUGUUCCUGUGCUGGCUGCAGGGCCAAGCUGGCGUCUGAAGGACAUUUCUUCAUCGAAUGGGCAGUCUCUGGAGGGUCCAAUUUUCCUUCUAGGUUUUCCUUUCUUAGGACACUGUCCUUGCCAACCAUUUCCUGCCACGGCUGGUGGUGGCCAAGUCCUCAGGGCCUCUCUGAAUGCCCGGCUCCUGUUCCACUCACAAUCCCCGGUGCAGGCCUCGCCUGGGAGCAGCGGCUUCUCAGAACAUAAACCCCAGGGACGCUCUCAGGUGCCAGCUGUGUCUAGUGUGGCCUGUUUGGACCCCAUGACUUGGAAAAUUUUAAGAAGCACUUAUAAACUAUUAACCUGUGAUUGUAGGUAAUGAAACAACCAGAGGGCUUUAUAAAAUUAAGAUCAAAUUCUACCACAGAAGCAUUUGAAUUGGGCUCACUGCAUGCCAGGCGCUGCUGUAAGCACUCUACCUGCAUGUUCUCAUUUGAUCCUCAGCAACCCCAGGAGGCUGGCACGGUCACAGCUGCACUCAUGGGCGAGCAGGUCUGUGAGCCAAGAGGUGGUGCCCCUCCCAUGGCCACGCAGCGGUCGGGGGCCACACUGGUGGUUCCAGCCUGUCCCUGCUGCACCAGCAGGCACACUCGAGCCACAGGCCCACUGCCCCUCACAUGCAGAGGGUAGCUGGUCUCCCCCAAGUCGGCUUGGCUUCUGACGAUCGCUCUCGUGCUCCCUCCGGCCCUACCGUGGGGGCUUCAUCUCACACAAUGUCCAGAGUAAGGACCCAAUGUUUACAGAGAUGCGUGUGGAAAGCAUGUCACAGUCAGAGUCCCAGGUACCCUCACGUCAUUCCUGAGGGUACAGGAAGGAAUCAGAACAAGAAGAAAAACCAACAGAAACAAAACAGUAACAACAAGCAAGCUACAAACCAAAGGCAUAUGCAGCGCACAAAGGGUUAACACCUUGACUGGUUCAAGAGCCAGAGAUUAACAUCACAAAUAAAACUGCAAAUUUAAAAAGAUAACAAGAUGCCAUGUUUCAUUAUUGGAUUAGCAAAUACUAAAAAGAAAGCUAUGCCCGGGGUGGGGGACGCUGGAGGACGUGGGGCCGGUCACUCACUCCCGCAGGAUGCCCUGACGAUGCCUGUCAGAAAUCUUAAAAAUGUGUGCAAUGUCUUAAAAUUUAUCCUGUGGAGAUAAUAAGGGAUACGCCCCCAGAUAGAUUCACAGCCUUUUUAUAAUAGCUGAGAUCUGGACAACCUAAAUGGCCAACACUACAGUAUUACUCAAUGACGUGUUUAUUCAAACCAUGGCAUUCUACGCAGUAUUAAAAUGAUCCAGCUCUUCACUUCCUGACCUUAAGAACUGCUAAUGAUAUAAUUGUUACAUGAAAAAAACGUGCACAGUGCCUCGCGUGUCACGGGGUCAGAUGUGCACAGCACAACGUGCGUGCGUAGUUUGGUCUGUCCACGUAGGUACAGGCAUGAGUCAUCACCUGUGUGAUGUUUCUACGAGGGGCUUUUUCUUCUUUUUGCUUAUUUUUCUUGUUUAUAUUUUUCUACAAUGAAUAUGAGUAACCUAUAGCAAAGUGUAAAACAGUGUGAGCAGUCUGUGUGCCAUUUCCUCGACCUCUGCCCACUGGGAGCUGGGUCUGCAGCCUGGCUCCCGCCCCGUCCCCUGCCGAGCUCUGCUGAAGAGCAAAGCAGAAUGUCCCUGAGGAGGGGGCCUCGCCAGCUCCUGCACUGGAGGAGCCUCUGAGUACAUCGAACUGGAGUCUGAGCUGGUCACACAAGCCCCCGCUGAGCACCUGCCAUGGGCUGGGACAUCCUGGGGACGGAAUGUUCUGGAACCACAGCAGUAGGUCAGAUGGGAACUCUGGCACAGACGCCCCCUUUCCAGAUUCUUGUCCAGAUCCCAAGAUGGAUACAAAACAUGGCAAGUAUGAGCUGAGGCUUAGCAAAGCCACAUAAAUCCAUCGCUGCUGCGAAAACAACUCGAAUGACAUGGUGUUGGGAACAAAAACCAUACAAGAAUUCCGCGUCUGGGAAGGGCCUUUCUAAAGUAGUUCUGGUUACAAAACAGAAGUGAGUAUCAUGAGGUGAACAGAAAAGGCAGAAAUGUUAGUGAAAUUUCAGGAUACAGGAAUGAAAGGAAGUCCUGUAACUUACUGAGUGGUUUAGGGAGGCCACCGUUAUGACAGAUAGAUACGAACAUGUGUCACGGCCCAAGUGUAAGAGAAGUGUGUUCAUUUUUGGUGAGAGCAGGACAAGCAGGGCCUGGGUGGUGAAGCGGAGCUUGGGACAUGGGAGGUUUGGGUGGGGGGAGUCUCUCCCCAUGUGGCACCAAGGGGCCCAGGCUGAGGGAGCCUUCGCCAUCUUCCUUCACAGGUGAAUUUGAGGUCACCGGGGCUGCUCCCUGGCCCAGGCGGGGAGAGGCUGUGAGCCUCUCUGGAAGCAGGGGGAGCAUUCCUCCUGCUCACGGUCCACUGGCUGGAGCCCAGCCAGGGCCCACCCAGCUGCAGCAGAGCCUGGAUGGAUCAAGGCGUGCCCAGGAACAAGAGAAGGGACACGUGUCGAAAGCAGAGAGCAGCAUCGACCUGUGUUCAUAGUUAACAGUUGACUAUUUUGACACUUGAGAAUGUUUCCUAGAAUAAAAAUGAGUAAGAAAAGGUUGAAUUUGGCAAAGACAUAAGGCAUACAUUCACGAGAGGUGCUCUCCUAUGGACACAGCAGGUCACUUUAACUGCCUUAGAAAUCUGGAAACAAGGAAAUUCUGAGACCCACAAAUCUGGCAUUUAUCAACCAUCUUUUCUUUCAAUGACAAAUGUAGGUAGUAUAAUUAUUUUAUGAGCAUACAGAGAAACAUAACUUUAGACUCACAAAUGACUGAAAAGUAUUGAUCUACGUGGUUCUUUUCAACCAAAAUUAAUGUAAAUAAUGUAAAAAAAAAAAGUUGAAUUAAAGAUUUAUUUUCCAAAGAGA